GCCUGUUCUUCUUGAGAUAACAGAGUGCUUGUUAGUUGUCUUUGACUGCUUACUCAGAGAAUUUUAUUUUUGCAAUCAUGUCCUGUGUAAUGGCUGUUCAAAAGCUUAUAUAAACUGCAUUUUUCUGUUUGAAGGGAGAGACCUCCCUGGAGUGCUGGUGAAUCCAUGUUGCUCUGAGUUCUCUCCUACAGUACUGUAUUUGAAUGAAAACUUCUACUGACCUAACCCUAAAGUCUACAUGUGUUUUUCCAUGACAGUUCUUGGUGCCGUGACUCAGAUCCAGAACACAUGUUAAAGAAGUAGGACCGCGGACCGUUCCCCGCUGAACCCCAGGCACCAAACUUAAGAGGUCCAAGAAGCCUUACCUCAACCACUGGAUAUUCCCUGUCACAACCUCGAACCAGGUGAUUGAGUCUAUGUAAAGGUCCAUCAGUGGAAAAACGUGCUUCAACCCAGAUGGAAAGGACCGUUUCAGGUGCUUCUGACCACUAACACUGCUGUUCAUUGCCAAGGUCACCAAAUGUGGACUCACGCCUCUCACUGUAAAGAAGUAUCACCUCCAUUGGGCCCCGAAGCGACUGAAUUCCAACCCAGAUUAAGACCUUUCCCUGAGGCCAAGGACAAAGACCCUCAGGACCUCACUCAGGCAAGUGAGGAGUGUCUCUAAUGGGUUAUGGAAUAGAGAAAAUCCCACACAAUUUACUGAUUCGUUUUGAUGCACUGGCUGGGGGAGUAGUUAACUGAUUGCACGAUUUCACAAUGAUUACACACUUAACUUAUACAACACAACUUUAUUUUAAAACUCUUUGCUAAGUAUAUAACACUGCUUAGCUUUAAGAAACACCACAAACAUUAAAAACACAAUAAUUACAUAUAUCAGAAACAAUGCUCUGAAUGCACUUCCUUCCCAAACAAUACUAUAAGAAUUAGUGUUACAAAAACAACUACAAUUACAACUAAAAGUUAAAUUUGAAUCAAUACUAUUAUUUUUUCAUAAUAUACUUACAAUCCUAGAAUUCCAAGAAGCCAAAUACGAAAAUAUGGUUUCAUUCCUCAGUAGUACGAUUUUAAUGGGUUGGCCUCAGUAGUACGGUUCAAUGAAAUGGGCUCAGCAAUACAAUUCAAUAGGCUGGCCUCAGCAGUGAUAGGACUAAGUCCCCUUCCUUCAGUCCCUUUCAGGUGCUCCGCGGCUUCAGCGUGAACUAAGAGAUUCGUGUUCACGGAGAGGGUGGUUCAGGUGAUCAGUCUGGACCCGGGCUAUACUUGCGAUUUUUUUUCCUUCGUUGUUCUACAAGUAUAGUCACCUCCAAAUUGGGACAGCAAGUUACCGUUUUUAUUGAGCGAGCUGCCAUCAGUGGGCUCCUCCUACUCAAUAUAUCACUGCUCCCAAAUUUGGGCUCGGAUCUUCCUCAACAGAUUGUUUUACCUUUGUUGAGCGUUUUAAAUUACCUUUGGGAAACUUCCAUAUCACUGCAAAUGCCCUUUUCUUACCAACCUGGUCAAAAGGCCUCAGGGUUUGAUCUCUUGGAAUUCAGGAUAUUUGCUCUCUUUGUAAAAGACUUCUAAAAGAUGAAAUUUAAAUUAAGACUUUAAGCAAAGUCAGGACCUUUUGCACGUAGUCCCCAAAACAAAGAACUAGAUAAGGAGAUAAAUCUUAUCUUCUUCCUGAAACUGGCUAAUGGGCAACCUUUACAAACAUUCAAACUAUUUCAUUCACUAUGACAAGGAGCAUCAGGGUGCAAGUGCUAGUAACCUCUCCCCUGAACCCAACUCCUCAGCCCGGCCAGAUUUACCAAUUGUGGAAUGAAGAUAUCAUCUCUGACCCCGUUAGAAAAAAGCUUCAUGUUUGGAUAUUAUUUAUCUUGAUUGUUAAUGCCAAACUUUUGAGCUUAGCCUGUGAAAAUGUAUUUUUGUCUUUAGUUAAUCAAAUUAGAAUAGAUUUAAAUGUCUCCAGUUGUUGGAUAUGUAGUCAUGUUCCUAUCCAUUUUACUGGAGGAAUACCCAUGAUACCUGUACCCUUGAAUACAACUCAGAUGCUGGCCCCUUAUUAUUCAGAUUUCCAUAGAAACGAGACUUGGUAAGACAUAAGCUGCAAUUGGUCUGACUAUAUACAACUAGCCUAUGCUACCCCUGGAAAGUUUUGUUGGACAUGUAAUGGAUCACAUGUGGCAGUAAGAGUUAGCAAAUGCAAAGUAGAAUUUAAAGUAAAUGGUGCUUGGUUUUCUAAUGGUUCCUGAAUAUCUAAUUACUCCCCCCAGAUUAAAUUUUCUGGGUACUAUUCACAAUGGAUGAUGAAACCACAAUGUAACACCACCUUCACUGCACUAGCUGGUCAUUAUUUUGUAUGUGGAAACAAGGCGUAUAAAAAUCUUCCUUCCGAGUGGGAAGGAACGUGCUGUUUCUGCCACGUACCCUGCUUUCACAAUUAGAUCACAUUUGCCAAAAGGAAAAAUUUGCAAUGUUCACAAAAUUACUGAAAACUAAAGAUUUUAAAGUAUAAUGUUCCCUAAUUAUGGGGCAGGCUUAGCUAUGUCUAAAAUACAGAAGGUUGCAGUAUCCUUGGGGGGGAAAAAAUAGCCAAUGCCACUGCCAUUGGGUUCCGUGAAAUAAGUAAAGAAAUGAGACAAAUGACUUUGCAAAAUAGAUUUGCUCUAGACUAUAUAUAGCCAGUAAAGGAGGAGUAUGUGUCAUGAUAAAGUCUAAAUGCUGUGUGUGUGUAUAUAUACCUGAUGCCUCUAGUACCACUGAAAAUCAAGCCGAGAUUAUUGAAAAGGAAGCUGCCAAACUUCACCAAAUUAAUCAAUGGGAUAUGGAAGGAAUGUGGUCUUAGUUAACCUCCUGGUUCCCAGAUUUAGGAACCCUUGGCAAGAAAAUCCUGUAUGAAAUAUUGCUUGUCUUGAUAGUUCUGAUAAUGUUUUACGUUUUAAUGCAACUGAUCCUCUGCUGCAUUAAAGCCAGCAGGCGAAGCUUUAGCAAAACAAGAAAACACACCGCAGAGUCUAGAAUAACGGUGUUACAAAAGUGUGAGCAGAUUGAAAGAAAACAUGAAAGGCUGCAAGAUGAAAUAAAAGGACUCAUGAGAAUGGAAGUUUAAGGCUAAAGUGAGACUAAAAAGUCUCAAAGGGGGGACUGUGAAAUCAAACAAAAUGAAUGCCUUAAACUUUGGUCAAGCUAAACUGUGAGUUGUAAGAUGAACAUGACAGCUGAGUGGGGAAUUGCUGGCUCUGCACGUCAGAGGAGACAAAGGGAAAUGUUUGUUUGUAAUUCCCCUGCAACUGCUUCGCUCACCGUGGCCGUGAGAUAGCAGGAAAGUAUGUGCCUGUUCUUCCUGAGAUAAGAGUGCUUGUUAGUUGUCUUUGACUGCUUACUCAGAGAAUUUUUUUAUUUUUGCAAUCAUGUCCUGUGUAACGGCUGUUCAAAAGCUUAUAUAAACUGCAUGAUUCUGUUUUGAAGAGAGAGACCUCCCUGGAGUGCUGGUGAAUCCAUGUUGCUCUGAGUUCUCUCCUACAGUACUGUAGCUCUGAAUAAAAGCUUCUACUGACCUGA